UACGUAGGGGGCAAGCGUUGUCCGGAAUCAUUGGGCGUAAAGCGCGCGCAGGCGGCUUCUUAAGUCCAUCGGUGAAAUGCCGGGGCUCAACCCCGUUGCAGGCCGAGGAUACUGGGAGGCUGGAGACGAGUAGAGGCAAGCGGAAUUCCGGGUGUAGCGGUGGAAUGCGUAGAGAUCCGGAAGAACACCGGAGGCGAAGGCGGCUUGCUGGGCUUGGUCUGACGCUGAGGCGCGAAAGCGUGGGGAGCGAACAGG
rnacentral:rRNA from 1 species